AAAACAACCCACUGAGGGAUCCAGAUAUCUUCAUGAAGUUAUGUUUUUCCACUGAGUUUUCCCCAGAUCUUCUGAGAAAAUAUGGUGGUGUAGUGUCAAAAAUCAUACUUCCCAUUAAUAUUAAAGGUAUUGGACAUAUUGAUAUAAAAUAA
rnacentral:lncRNA from 1 species